rnacentral:rRNA from 1 species
GAUGAACGCUGGCGGCGUGCCUAAUACAUGCAAGUCGAGCGAACAGACGAGGAGCUUGCUCCUCUGACGUUAGCGGCGGACGGGUGAGUAACACGUGGAUAACCUACCUAUAAGACUGGGAUAACUUCGGGAAACCGGAGCUAAUACCGGAUAAUAUAUUGAACCGCAUGGUUCAAUAGUGAAAGACGGUUUUGCUGUCACUUAUAGAUGGAUCCGCGCCGCAUUAGCUAGUUGGUAAGGUAACGGCUUACCAAGGCAACGAUGCGUAGCCGACCUGAGAGGGUGGUCGGCGACAGGGGACGGGGACCCGGGUCCGGACGCCGGCGGGAGGAAGAAGAGGGGAAUCUGCGGAAGGGGGGGAAAGCCGGACGGAGCAGCCCGGGGGGGGUGAUAAAGGUCUUGGGAGCGAAAACCUGUUUUAUGGGGGAAAAAAAGAGGUUGACGAACAACGACAGGUCUGGAGGGUCCUUAAUAAAAAAGCCCCGGCAAACUACGUG